UAUAACAAUCGACACCUGUCUAUGUAAUGUUAUGUUAACGCAAAAUUUAAGCUAUAAGUAAAAGGUUUAUGUUGCUUUAAUAGUUUUUACUUCAAAAAGCGUUUGAAUCGGAACACUCAGUAACCAAUGUUUUACCCACAUGGAGAGGCCUGCAUGGUCGAGGAUUCGUUUGCGGAAAGGAUGACUAUAACACCCCCGGAAACCCGACAUGCUGUGAGAAGUUGGACAUGCUAGGAGAUGUAGCCGAUAUAUUUUAAAGAAUUUCGGUAGGGUCAACAUGUUUGCCUUCACUUGCUUUUACUGUCCCAAGAAGUUGAUAUCAUUGAAAGAAAAUGUCAAACACAUUACAUUAACAAAUGUCACAAAAACGACACACUACGUUACAAGCAGCUGGAUCUUGAUAGUGCUACCGGAUUAUUCGGUUAUCGGACUCAAACAUAUGAAGGUAAAUAACAAGACGGCAAAACCCUCGAGUAACCACCAUGAGUCUGAUGUCCUUGACAAUGAGUUGCGCCAAUUGAAUGAGACUAUACAAGUUGUUCGCAAAGAGAAGCAAAUUCGUCAUUCUAUCCAGAGCCAGGAAUCAGAUAUCAAGGGUAUUUUGACUGACUUUAUGAAAUCUGUUUCUGAACAAAUACUCGAACUUAAAUAUGAAUUAAAAGAACACGUAAAGAAAACGUCGGCUCAAAUGGAAGAACUUAAAGACAUCACUUGCGGCCUCAAAAAACACCAUAGUCUUUGCUGUAAUGAUAUUUCCUCAAAAAUGAAGGACGUUGCUGAAGAAUCAGAGUCAGUUAAAACCCAAAUGAGUGUACUAAAUGAAGAACUUCUCAAAAGAUGGCAAUCGUUUACCGACUCUAUCAAAACUCAGUUGUCUGCUAUUACAGAUCAUAAGAAAGAAAAUCAUCAUUCAGUACUGUCACAAGCUACAAACCAAUUACCAUCCAAUAUAAACAGAGAAACAAGUCUUCGUGCAGAUCUUUCAGCAAGCACAUUUCCAUCCCCUUCUAGCAUUGAACCACGGUGAACUCUCAUCAUCGAUUUUGAAAGGAAUCAAAAAGCUCGGGUUAAAACGCGACGUUGAUAUACGCACUUGUCCUGGAAACACUCUUAACGGGAUUCAGUCGCAACUAAAUAAACUGAAUUAUACUCAGUACGAAAAAAUAGUGGUGUAUGCAGGCGGUAAUGAUGCCGCUUCCGGUUCCUCCCAAAAGACGUUGUACAACGAUGCCAAAGCUCUACUGCAGGACAUUAAAAAUAAAUCAUCAUCGUGUCAUAUCUUCAUAUGUACUGUCUGUCCGCGAACUGACGCUGAUGUCGUUCCAUUGAAUGAUCUUUUAAAGCAGUUAAGUGAUGAAUUUAAGACGCAAAUUAUCGACUGUCAUCAAUCGUUUGUGUUCGAAAAUGGAACUACUGCCAGGAAUUUCUAUUGUCGGGAUGGUAUUCAUUGAAUAGGUCUGGAACAAGUGUUCUAAUUGCGGCGCUCCAUCGUGAAAUACCAAUCACGCGCCAAGUUGCCGGAAACAGCAUAGCAACUGAUCAACGACGGUUUGACUCUCUUAGGGACGAAUGCUGCCAAAAGCAUAUUGCAAUUUGUGUGGCUUGAAUAAUCACGACACAAAUGACUGCUACCGGAAAUGGCGUCGAUCGGACAGUUACCAUAGCAACUUGUGGUCCGAGUCUAUGAGAUACGGACGAUAUCGCCGUCAGAGCACGGUCCCAGCUGAACAACGGGCUGCAUAGGACAUUCGCAUCAGGCCAUCACACAUUUCAAAUCCUGAGAGCGGUACUGUUAAUUAUAAUAAAUUUGACGUUUUGAAUAGCUUAUGUAUAGAAUGUAAUAACUGUGUAUGCAAAUGUGAUUCUGACACUAUCAUUUAAAAUACGAUUGUAUCAAAUGAAGCUGUUUACUUAGUAUCAACUAUUAAUGAUAAAAAUACGCUAUUAAAAAGUAGCACUACCAUUGAAAAAGAGAAUGGUUUUUCUAAUGAAAAUUGUAGUAUUAUUACAGAGUCAACUUUGGAUUUUAAUUUCACUAAUAGUGGAUUACAUGUUGUUUGUUUAAACAUUCAACACAUAUUACCAAAGAUUGAUGAAAUCAAAUAUGUACUUUAUAAUUCGGAUAUUCACAUAUUAGGACAUAUUGAAACAUUUUUGAAUGCUAAAAUAUUAGAUAGUGAUAUACAAAUUCCAAAUUAUAAUAUUAUUCGCUGCGACAGAAACAUUCGAAAGGGUGGAGGCAUAUUAAUUUAUAUUAAAGAUAACAUACCUUUCCAACAUAGAUUGGACUUGAACGUAAAUUCUCUAGAAUCAGUUUGGAUUGAAAUAAUGUUUCCUCAAACAAAAUCAUUCUUAAUAAACUUUGUAUACAGACCACCGGAUUCUACAAUUGAAUGGAUAUCGACAUAUGAAUCUACUUUUAAAAAUGCUUAUAACUUAAUUGAUAAAGCAUUUUAUAUAUUAGG